GUAUAUCACAUAUAUUAUUGUCUCUUUUCGUUAGUCCUGUGGCACAGAUGGCAGUAGCCCUUCUUCCAGAUGAAGAAGUCACAUCUCUAAAAGAUGAAGUGACUUAGCCCAUGUCUUUCUUUUUUUUUUUUUUUUGAGAUGGAGUUUCGCUGUCGCCCAGGCUGGAGUGCAAUGGCGCAAUCUCGGCUCACUACAACCUCCACCUCCUGGGUUCACGCCAUUCACCUGCCUCAGCCUCCCGAGUAGCUGGGAGUACAGGUGCCCGCCACCACGCUCAGCUAACUUUUUGUGUUUUUAGUAGAUACGGGGUUUCACCAUCUUGGCCAGGCUGGUCUCGAACUCCUGACCUCAGGUGAUCCACCCACCUCGGCCUCCCAAAGUGCUGGGAUUACAGGCGUGAGCCGCCGCGCCCGGCUGCCCAUGGCUUUCCAUUAGAAAAAUGCAGAUCUUGUAUUUGAGCCUAGUUUUCCUCAGGCUGAAUGCUCUUCCUCUGACUCCACAGCCGGCCUACAGAGGGAACGUAGAAUAAUGAGGAGAGACACCGAAGCAAGUCAGGAUGUGUGCACCAGCAGGAAACGUGGCUGGAACGUUAACAAGCAGAGGGGACGCUCCAGCCAUGGCCUCUAUCUGAACUACGCUGAAAAGCUCCAGAAAACCAAACCAAACAAAACAUCCACUCUUGGCUGGUGAAUUUGAAAUACCAAAAUUCUUCUGAAACUCCAGAGGUGUGAUGGGCCGGUUCCCAGCGCCUUAUCCUCUCUCGGACCCGAUCACCACAGGGAUACAGCGCUGGAUUCCUAUCCUCUUGGGCCUGGGGCAUCUCAUUGUUCAACUUCCACUUAUGAGUGAGAACACGUGGGUUUGGUUUUCUAGAACAUCCUAUUUCUAGGGGAAGUGGAACCGAACCUGAGCUGUUGCAUUCGGCUCUUCCCCGUCUCAGGAUGCCGCAGUCCCAGCAUAUUCUACAGUUAUUCUGGAAAACCGCAAGCAAGAAAAGGGGGAAGACUGGUUGGUUCGAGGCCACCCGGAGAACUGUCCUGCAUCAGCCCUUGUUAAAAUGAAAGCUGAGGCCGGGCGCGGUGGCUCAAGCCUGUAAUCCCAGCACUUUGGGAGGCCGAGACGGGCGGAUCACAAGGUCAGGAGAUCGAGACCAUCCUGGCUGACACGGUGAAACCCCAUCUCUACUAAAAAAUACAAAAAACUAGCCGGGUGAGGUGGCUGGCGCCUGUAGUCCCAGCUACUCGGGAGGCUGAGGCAGGAGAAUGGCGUGAACCCGGGAGGCGGAGCUUGCAGUGAGCUGAGAUCCGGCCACUGCACUCCAGCCUGGGCGACAGAGCGAGACUCCGUCUCAAAAAAAAAAAAAAAAAAAAAAAAAAAAAAAAAAAUGAAAGCUGAGCAGCAGCAGAUAAAGUGAAUUCACUCUUUGGAACUGCCUGCUCUGUGAACCGGGAAGGGACGCCGGGCUUCGGUUACACUUUUGGGGACAUUGUGGCAUUUAAUGAGGAAUUACCUACCUACUGGGAUUCAUUUGCAAGAAAGAUUGCAAUCUACCCUUCAAAUAAUGCAUCUAGGUACUUAACAGUCAAAAUCUGCCUACCUAAUUUAAAAUACAAAGGUUUUUACAUCAUCCCAUAUUCUCUCCUAGUUCAUUGACAGACAUGCGUGUUUCGCUGUUUAACAUGCAUCAAUACUUUUAGUUCUACUUUUUAACUUAUUUGUUACUCUUUCAGAUGGAUUUUUUAAAUGAGAAUGUCCAUGUAACAACACAGUUUACGUCUGUCAUAUUAUAGUAUUUGAGGUGUACCUAUAUAAUUUUUUUUUUUUUUUUGAGACAGAAUCUCACUCUGUCACCCAGGCUGGAGUGCAGUGGUGCGAUCUCAGCUCACUGCAACCUCCACCUCCCGAGUUCAAGCAAUUCUCCUGUUUCAGCCUCCUGAGUAGCUGGGACUAUAGGUGCACACCACCACACCUGGCUUUUUUUUUUUUUUUGUAUUUUUAGUAGAGACGGUGUUUCACCAUGUUGGACAGGCUGGUCUCAUACUCCUGACCUCAGGUGAUCCACCUGCCUCAGCCUCCCAAAGUGGUGGGAUUACAGGCAUGAGCCACUGUACCCUGCCUGACUAUACACUCUUACACCAUAGUUUGAUCAAAGAUUACUGUCACGUUUAUGAAUUAAAUCAAAUUUUUGAAUAUACAAAUAUCAUUUUUAUAAGCAUAUUUUUGUGUGAUUUGCUCUCCUAGCCUAUAUUCUUAAAAAAUAUAUCCAGCAAUAAUUACAGGUAGUUUUAAAGUUAAUUUUAAUUUCUUUAAUUUGUCAAAUUGCUAUGAAAAUGUAAAAGAUUGUCUAGAAAGAAAAUCAAUAAGGAAACAAUGGACUUUAAUUACACUUUAAACCAAAUGCACCUAACAAACAUAUACAGAACAUUUAAUCCAAUAUCAAGGGAAUCCAUGUAAUUCUCAAGUGCAUGCAGACCAUUCUCCAGGAUAGAUUAUUUUGUACGUUAGACUACAAAAAAAGUCUUAACAAAAUUAAGACUAUUGAAGUCAAUCAAGUAUCUUUUCUGAUCACCAUAGUAUGAAACCAGAAAUUGAUAACAGGAGAAAUCCUAAAAAAUU
ensembl:lncRNA